GUAGGUGAACCUGCGGAAGGAUCAUUAACACAAUACUCUCAUAUCAACAUUGGCGCACUUGUUUGACCCUUAUCGAAGCAGAUGCUGAGUUGGAAAUGGUUGGUUUUAUUACGGCCAAUUCAGCUAAGCUACCGUUUGAGUAGCAGUCCGACUUUAUAAGGUAUUACAGCCUCAACCAUGGCUGGCCCCUUUUUUUUUUAACUACUGAAAUUUGUACUGAUUUGGGCUCGGAUCGAGGGGAGUAAUCCUU
rnacentral:misc_RNA from 1 species